GAGAGGGGUUGAAGACGGAGUUUAAUCACCCACUGCCAAUGAUUUAAUCAAUUGUGCAUAUGUAAUGGAGCCUCCAUAAAAGCCCAAGGGACUGAGUUCAGAGGGCUCCCGGGUUGGUGAACACACAGAGAUUGGAGGAGAUUGGUGCCCUCGGAGAGAGCAUGGAACCUCCAAGUGCUUUCCCCACACCUUUAUGUAUUUCUUCACUCUGGCUGUCCCUGAGUUAUAUCUUUUUGUAAAAAGGUGGUAGUCGCUGGCUGUUCUGGAAGAGAAAGUGGCAGAAAUCCAACUUUGAUCACAUAGAGGAAUGCGUGUAAAGGAUGAAGCUAAAGUGACUUGAGAGAUACUUUGGAAGGAGCUGCCCUGCUCACUCUGGUCUGCUACCUAGAGACUGUCAGCACGGACAGAAAUUUCUCUCUACUUUAAGGCACUGUGUGUUAUAGUCUUUUUUCUGGCUGUUGCUUACCUUGAUCAUGAUGUACACAGGGAUGAGAUUCUCUGGAUAAGAUUCCCUGGAGAAACAGACUUGAGUUUGACCUCAAAAUAUUCAUUAAAGAUUAAUCACAUGUAAAGAAAAAA